rnacentral:rRNA from 1 species
CAAGGGGGUCAUCCCGACUUACCAACCCGAUGCAAACUGCGAAUACCGGAGAAUGUUAUCACGGGAGACACACGGCGGGUGCUAACGUCCGUCGUGAAGAGGGAAACAACCCAGACCGCCAGCUAAGGUCCCAAAGUCAUGGUUAAGUGGGAAACGAUGUGGGAAGGCCCAGACAGCCAGGAUGUUGGCUUAGAAGCAGCCAUCAUUUAAAGAAAGCGUAAUAGCUCACUGGUCGAGUCGGCCUGCGCGGAAGAUGUAACGGGGCUAAACCAUGCACCGAAGCUGCGGCAGCGAUGCUUAUGCGUUGUUGGGUAGGGGAGCGUUCUGUAAGCCUGCGAAGGUGUGCUGUGAGGCAUGCUGGAGGUAUCAGAAGUGCGAAUGCUGACAUAAGUAACGAUAAAGCGGGUGAAAAGCCCGCUCGCCGGAAGACCAAGGGUUCCUGUCCAACGUUAAUCGGGGCAGGGUGAGUCGACCCCUAAGGCGAGGCCGAAAGGCGUAGUCGAUGGGAAACAGGUUAAUAUUCCUGUACUUGGUGUUACUGCGAAGGGGGGACGGAGAAGGCUAUGUUGGCCGGGCGACGGUUGUCCCGGUUUAAGCGUGUAGGCUGGUUUUCCAGGCAAAUCCGGAAAAUCAAGGCUGAGGCGUGAUGACGAGGCACUACGGUGCUGAAGCAACAAAUGCCCUGCUUCCAGGAAAAGCCUCUAAGCAUCAGGUAACAUCAAAUCGUACCCCAAACCGACACAGGUGGUCAGGUAGAGAAUACCAAGGCGCUUGAGAGAACUCGGGUGAAGGAACUAGGCAAAAUGGUGCCGUAACUUCGGGAGAAGGCACGCUGAUAUGUAGGUGAAGUCCCUUGCGGAUGGAGCUGAAAUCAGUCGAAGAUACCAGCUGGCUGCAACUGUUUAUUAAAAACACAGCACUGUGCAAACACGAAAGUGGACGUAUACGGUGUGACGCCUGCCCGGUGCCGGAAGGUUAAUUGAUGGGGUCAGCGCAAGCGAAGCUCUUGAUCGAAGCCCCGGUAAACGGCGGCCGUAACUAUAACGGUCCUAAGGUAGCGAAAUUCCUUGUCGGGUAAGUUCCGACCUGCACGAAUGGCGUAAUGAUGGCCAGGCUGUCUCCACCCGAGACUCAGUGAAAUUGAACUCGCUGUGAAGAUGCAGUGUACCCGCGGCAAGACGGAAAGACCCCGUGAACCUUUACUAUAGCUUGACACUGAACAUUGAGCCUUGAUGUGUAGGAUAGGUGGGAGGCUUUGAAGUGUGGACGCCAGUCUGCAUGGAGCCGGCCUUGAAAUACCACCCUUUAAUGUUUGAUGUUCUAACGUGGACCCGUGAUCCGGGUUGCGGACAGUGUCUGGUGGGUAGUUUGACUGGGGCGGUCUCCUCCUAAAGAGUAACGGAGGAGCACGAAGGUUGGCUAAUCCUGGUCGGACAUCAGGAGGUUAGUGCAAUGGCAUAAGCCAGCUUGACUGCGAGCGUGACGGCGCGAGCAGGUGCGAAAGCAGGUCAUAGUGAUCCGGUGGUUCUGAAUGGAAGGGCCAUCGCUCAACGGAUAAAAGGUACUCCGGGGAUAACAGGCUGAUACCGCCCAAGAGUUCAUAUCGACGGCGGUGUUUGGCACCUCGAUGUCGGCUCAUCACAUCCUGGGGCUGAAGUAGGUCCCAAGGGUAUGGCUGUUCGCCAUUUAAAGUGGUACGCGAGCUGGGUUUAGAACGUCGUGAGACAGUUCGGUCCCUAUCUGCCGUGGGCGCUGGAGAACUGAGGGGGGCUGCUCCUAGUACGAGAGGACCGGAGUGGACGCAUCACUGGUGUUCGGGUUGUCAUGCCAAUGGCACUGCCCGGUAGCUAAAUGCGGAAGAGAUAAGUGCUGAAAGCAUCUAAGCACGAAACUUGCCCCGAGAUGAGUUCUCCCUGACCCUUUAAGGGUCCUGAAGGAACGUUGAAGACGACGACGUUGAUAGGCCGGGUGUGUAAGCGCAGCGAUGCGUUGAGCUAACCGGUACUAAUGAACCGUGAGG